rnacentral:lncRNA from 1 species
UGAGUUUUUUGGGUUAUGCUUAGUUUGACUUGAAGGUAGAGGUGCUCAUGGGCCGGGCGGGCCGUCGGGGUUUGGGUAAAAAUAUAGGCCCGAAAUAUGGGCUUGGGCAAAAAAUGAGGUCCGUUUAGAAAAUGGGUCGGGCCUCGGGCACCACUUUUUUGGCCCGGGCCGGCCCCGGCCCCGGCCCGGCCCGAUAUAAUAAAUAUAUUUAUUUUUUAAAUUUUUUAAAUUUUAAAAUAUUUUUAAAAUAUUUUUUUAUUAUUAUUUAAUUUUAAAAUAUUUUUAAAAUACUUUUUUUAAUUUUUAAAAUAAAUAUUUGGUAUUUAUUAAAAAAAUAGGCCGGGCUGGGCCCGGGCUUAUAAUUUUUCCCGAGCCAGGCUUGAACAAAUUUUUAGACCCAUAUUUCAGGCCGGGCCAGGCCCGGACUAAAAUUUUUUAAAGGGUCCUGCCCGGCCCGGCCCAUGAGCACCUCUACUGAAGGGUAUGUUUGGAGGCAGUUUGCUUGAUGAAGUUUGCUUGAUGAUAAAGUUGGAUUAUUUAUUUAUUUAUUUAUUGUGAGACAAAUUGUUUUAUUCUUUACCCUUUUAUGGUCAAAGAGAAUCAUUUGAGAACUUGGUUUUUGCAUCUUUUUUUUACUUCAAUCUUUGGGUGUUUUUUUUGGAUGUUGAUGUGUGAAUUGUGGUGCAAAUUCGAGGAAAGUUGAAUUUUCUUUUCGGUUCUUUAAUUUUCCUUUGGUGUUCAUUUGAUUGGAUUUGUGUGGACUUUUCUGCAAAUAAUUUAGAAGGACCGGGUUUUAAUAGAGGAAUUUGUAAAAGUUAUAGUUUUGGUUGAAAAUGGCAGUGAUGGUGUCAAUUGCAACGACAUCUCUUCGUGGUCAUAGUCCUUUGCAUGGUAGAGUUUCUGUUAGGGUCAUAGGAUUAAAAUUGUGUUAUUCAAUUAUUAUUGGAUGAGAAUUGAUUUAUGUUUUAUAGAGCAUGUAAUUUGC